CGUUUUCAUGUCAUAUGACCACCUCAAAUCAGCUGUGAGAAGUUGCAUAUACGGGUCCUCAUAGUGGAGUCGAUUUAGUUGGUUAAAGGAAACGCUGUAUCCACCAGGCACCACGAACUGCACAGAUGAGGUAGCUAUUGUAUUGGUUGUUGUAAGUAACUUACUACUAACCUCUCGCUUGAGGUCAAAUCACCCGGACACUGAUUAUCAAUGUAGAAGGCACCACCGUUCACACUGAUCAUGGCAACGAGACCACCCCUCUCCAGGGAAAUAGGAGGCAAGGGAUAAAGGGGCCUCCUUCAUCUGUCUUCAAUCUGAUGAAGGUCAUCAUGGGCAGUGCCAUCCUGGACCUGGCCUACGCAAUGGCCAACACCGGUAUAGUGAGCUUCGGCCAUGUCGUCAUACAUGUUCAUCUUGAAAACCGAGCUUCCUGCAGCCAUCGCCAGCUUCCUAAGCCGGUGAACCUUCGCCCCGUUCUGAGUGCUCUGGAGCAGGUUUUCAUCAAGGAUCUCUCUGUACUUUGCUCCUAAUCCAACCUGGCAGAGCUUGAGAGGAUCUGCAGAGAAGAAUGGGAGAAACUCUCCAAAUACAGGGUGGCCUGGUAUGAAGAUGGCAGGAUGUUACUGAUUCUGAUGACUUGUGAGGUUCCUCUGGCUCUACUGACCCAAGAUUGGAGAGUGGCACAGUUUGGUCUCAUCUGGCACACUUGUCCUUAAAUCUAUAUGAUAGACAUGUGUAUCACCAUCUUUGUCCUUCCACCCUCCAGGAUUCCGGGCUACACCAGCAGCCUCCUCUUCAUGCUCAUCUUCUUAGUUGUGAUAUCGAAUUCCUUCGAAAUUGGAAUGUACGCCCAAACUCUCACCCAGUAAGGUAUGUAUGCAUCGGUGCCAUUUUAUGAUGAGUGAGGACGAUAGAAGAAAAAAACAUUAUGCCCAUGGCCUUAUUUCUAUUACAGCACAUUGGAUGACUGUCAUUCAUAUUCCAUUCACGCCGCUGAAUGUAACAUCGAUAUGUUUCGGCUACUACAUGAUACUCAAAUAUUCCCUAUACCCAGCAUGAGGUUGCUACUACCUAGCUUAUGAAUGAAACUUUACAACAUAAGUGCACAGGUAGAGAGAAAUUUGAGUAAUCAAGGUGACAGACAUUGACGCAUUCAAUACCGCCUUGCACACUUGUCUGCAUCUAGCUGAUCUAAUGUGUAAUCAUUAGUCCUGCAGUUGCAAACAAAUUUCUAUUGGACAAAUUCAAGUAUGUUUAUCCAUGUUUUGUUCUGUUUGCUUCCGUUUAAGAAACAUAAGCCCUUGAUCACAUGCAAACACAGUUCACUUUCAUGGCAGCCACAUACAAACAGCAAUGAUCCCUUUGAUUGUUGUAUAAUUCCUUAUUGGAUCUAUGCAGUCUCCUCUCACCUUUUCCCUUCGCUUGUGAACUUCAGUGCACAACACAUCAGCUGUCUGUUUAUUAAACAGGUGAAAAAACCCUUCCAAGCCAAACCUUAAUAUCAUAACCGCUAACAGCUACACACAGCCUACAUCGUUGUCACCAUAUUAGCUAACAUCAUAAUUAACAUAGCUACUAGAACUAAUGUGUUACUAAACUGCUACAAUCACACAGGACCGUGCACAGCGAGAAGUUUAGCAGUUACACCGGCGGGCACUGGUGGUUAUACAACCAAAAGCUUACCUUGACUUGGAUGAGUUCCAGUGUUGGAUAGCCAUAGCCAGCUAGCAUCCCUCUUGAGCCAGGUAUUAGAGUAGACUAAACUAGCUAGCUGCAUCUAUGUCUCUUGCUUCACCAUUUUUUAAGAAAUGAAUUUGUUCAAAACUGUUCAACUAUUGUCUUUCUCUGAGUCAACUACACACCACAUUUUAUGCACUGCAGUGCUAGCUAGCUGUAGCAUAUGCUUUCAGUACUUUAUUUAUUCUCUGAUCCUUUGAUUGGAUGGACAACAUGUCAGUUUAUGCUGCAAGAGCUCGGAUGGGUUGGAGGACGUCCUCCGGAAGUUGUCAUAAUUACUGUGUAACUCUAUGGAAGGGGGUGAGAACCACGAGCCUCCUAGGUUUUGUGUUGAAGUCAGUGAACCCAGAGGAUUGCGGAAGCUAGCUGUACCUCGGCUACACGAUGGUGCUACCCUACAGAGUGCUGUUGAGGCUACUGUAGACCAUUGCAAAACAGUGUUUUAAUAAAUUAUUUGGUGACGUGUAUAAAUGUGAUAUAGUUUUCAAAAAAGGAUGACUUCAAUGUUUCACUAUUUAACAUUUUCUGAAAUUGACUGAUGAGGAUGGUCCUCUCCCUCUUCCGAGGAGCCUCCACUGAUGGAUUGACUCAACUUGUCUCCAUCAACCCUGGAUAUGUAGUCAGUAAAACAGACUGUAUAAUAUUUGUAAGCUGUAAUACGCUUUAUUGCUAUUAAUAGUGCAGUACAAUUAUUACAGUUGCAGAAGCAGUUUUCUGGAUCUUCUGGAGCUUUAGUAAAAGGCACCGUCUGUCUAUAGUUCUUAGUCACUGUAAGUGGUGACAUUUCCCAAUCAUUAAGAGUGCAGGAUUGUGUAGUGUAUGGAAUAGCAUAUGCUCCAUAGCUGAGUGCAACCAGCAGCUGCCACUCAUGUGUGAAUGUGCCUGUACUAUUAAUCUGUGUGUGUCUGGGGGGGCGUGCAGAAUUACAUGGCACACAUGGUUAUACGAUUCAGAUACCAUGAUAUAUUGCUGCCAGAGGAGGCAGUGCAAAAGUGUGUUUUAUUUGUGUGCAGUGUGCAUGUAUUUAUAGAUAUGUCUAAAAUACUAAAUCAGAGAACUUCUCACCUCAACUUUACAAUAUCACACACUGCAGUUUUGCUGGUAAUGACUACUACUAUUAUUAUUACUCCUACAACUAUUACUACUAGACACACACUGCCCCCCUCCCCCCUACUUUCCCUGGGUAACCGUAUAAGUUUCUACGGUGUUAAUGACGGCAGUGUAGUGAAUGAUGGAUGUGUGUUUUGAGUGCUUACAUCAUCCCCACCAUGGCCUUCUCCUUCCUCUGCCACACUGCUGUGGUGCCCAUCUACUGUGAGCUGGACCAGUCAGUACCCUGCCUGCCUGACUGACGCAGCCCUUACACAUCCUUCUAAACAGUGAUUUUUCUGCCAUUGUAAUCCUUGGGCCGUGUGUGUACAUUUUUUUAUAAUAAUAUUCUUUUAUUUUUAAAUAACGAUACAAAAAAAAUAUAUAUUUAUUAUUCAUUUUCAUGAAUGGAAAAACACUUCAAACUUCAAUGACUAAUACCAGAUAUAAAGUAUGUUGAAAUUAUGAUGGUACUAUUAUUUUUAAAUGUAAUUUUUGAGAACUAGCAAUCACCAAAAUAAAAGCUAGACAGUCAGGGAGAAUUGAAAAUUCCCAAAAUAAUGAUUUAAGCAGUAUUGGUUUUGUUAUGUUUGAGCAAAAGAACACAGUAUAUGCCAUGGAAAAAUCAAUUUAAUUGCAGGAAAUUGGUUUUAAAACUGCAAAAAUGUAUCUUGGCUCCAUGGACAAAUGUGUAUAAUUGGCUUAAAAAUGCUAAAUUAAAUGGGCAGUGACACACCUCACACAGAGAGAGAGCUGGUUGACACUACAAGCUCUAUUAAAUCCAUGGUGUCUCUACCUCCUCCUAAAAUGUUAUAUUGGACCAGUCCUUCACUUUGCUUUAUCUCUCUGACCGACCACAUGGACACAGAGCUGUUGCUAGGCUACGACGUGAACCUUCCGAGUGAUGUGUAGGUGAUGGAAAAGAAACCAUGGUCUCAGCAUUGACUCCAUGUCAAAAUAAAUGUUCAAUUAAAAACUAAAAUGUCUGAGUGUCUUGACAAUCCUGCUGGCUGUGCUGCUGACUGUGUUUGGGGUUGUGGGUAGGUGUUAAGUCGUUUAACUGAUGGGGUUUCCUUUUGGGGGGUAUUUAUUGUUCCCUUGGCAUCUACUGGUAAUGUUAGGACCUUAUUAGCUAAAUGGGUUUUGAAUGGUUGGUUAAUGUUCUCAUGUUUAGGUUCUUUAAUCUGUAGUUUGCUUUGGGUGUUAAGUAUAGCAUGGUGUACCGUGUGUACAAAGUCUCUGGAGUCGUGGUAAAUGCACACUUCCCAAAUUCAUCCUCAUACUGGAGUUGUUUAGCCUCAUAAAUCAUGGAAAAGACAAGAUUGCAAGGACCCAAAAAAAACAAAAGAAAAUGUUACUUUUUUUUUAAUGGCAAUGUUUUCAUAUCUGCUGGCAAUGUAAUGAUCAUGACUAACCUGUGACUGCACUGUAUCACUACGAUGAUGUCAUUUCCUUGUGCCCCCAGGCUCUGUUUCUGCUGAUCUUCAGCCUGUUUGUGGGACUGCUCAGUCUGUGUCAUCGUGGUCACCUGGGCAGAGAACCCCUGAACAGGACCACAUGACCAGACAAGCCAUGUACCUGCUCCAUGGAGCCUAAAGGGAAAAUGCUGCCAGAUAAAUCAUAUUUGGCAGCAAACCAGGACGCUAUAACCACCAAACAGACCAGUGGUAGGACCACAAGAUCACUGCAUCCAGACUCUGAAAGCAUAAGACUGCCCAAUUACUGAAUGUUGCGCUGAUGUAUUGAGUGAAUAUACUAUACCUUCCUCUAUACUGCACCUCCGGUAUCCAUAGAAGAAAAGUCAUUCAAAUGCUUAUCAACUAUUUCAUUAUAUGAUCAAUUUAUUGUACUGUAAAAUGUUAAAUAAAAGGGAAACAUUGUGA